UUGAUGAUGAUGGUAAAGGAGGAGACAUUGAACCUUUGAAGGUUUAAGAGAAAUAUUAGAAGAAUUAAAGCCAUUCAAGAAAUAGUUGAUGAAAGAUGCAGUGACAAGUGCACUAAGAAGAGUUGCAGUUGGCUUUGGGAAUUUAGUGAUUAAACUUUUGUAUUCAGGACCUGUUUUAAGAUCUCAUUGUUUAAGACUUAUAGUUGAGAAUGUAUGAGUUACGUUUUGUGGUUUAGCCUUAGCAUUUAGGUUGGUUAAUUGCCUAAGUGUGGCGGCAAUGCCCUCAAUAAGAUUGUGAAAAGCUUCCGCAUUCUAA